rnacentral:rRNA from 1 species
ACGUAGGGUGCAAGCGUUAAUCGGAAUUACUGGGCGUAAAGCGUGCGCAGGCGGUUCGUUGUGUCCGAUGUGAAAGCCCCGGGCUUAACCUGGGAAUGGCAUUGGAAACUGGCGAGCUUGAGUGCGGCAGAGGGGGGUGGAAUUCCGCGUGUAGCAGUGAAAUGCGUAGAGAUGCGGAGGAACACCGAUGGCGAAGGCAGCCCCCUGGGUCGACACUGACGCUCAGGCGCGAAAGCUAGGGGAGCAAACGGGA